CCUACGGGAGGCAGCAGUGAGGAAUAUUGGUCAAUGGCCGGAAGGCUGAACCAGCCACGUCGCGUGAGGGAAUAAGGCCCUAUGGGUCGUAAACCUCUUUUGUCAGGGAGCAAAGGCGUCCACGAGUGGACGAAAGGAGAGUACCUGAAGAAAAAGCAUCGGCUAACUCCGUGCCAGCAGCCGCGGUAAUACUGAGGUGGCGAGCGUUAUCCGGAUUUAUUGGGGUAAAGGGGUGCGUAGGCGGAUUGUCAAGUCAGCGGUAAAAUUUCGGGGCUCAACCCCGUCGUGCAGUUGAAACUGACACUCUUGAGUGAGUGAGAAGUAAGCGGAAUGCGUGGUGUAGCGGUGAAAUGCAUAGAUAUCACGCAGAACGCCGAUUGCGAAGGCAGCUUACCGGCGAUCAACUGACGCUGAGGCACGAAAGUGCGGGUAUCGAACAGGAUUAGAUACCCGUGUAGUC
rnacentral:rRNA from 1 species